GUACUAUAUGAGAGUACAACCAAGAGCGACAGAGAAAACAAUCUAGAGAUGCCAAGUGGAGCGAGUGAGAAAAAAUGUCAUAAGAGAGAGAAUUCUGAUCAUACGACGUCUACCGUCUGUACGCUGAUGACUGUGCUGGUGUUCCCUCAGGCACUGCGUGCUCCUGGAGUGAAUCUAUCCUUUUCACACUACACACUACAUCACCGGUGCUUCUCCUCGAUCGCUAUAGAUGUCCUGUCCCCUCUACUGGCAUGCUGGAGGUGAAGUUUUGUUGGAUCCGAGUAUGAGCAUGGACACCGCGCUGCUGCUGUUACCCCUUCAGCGCCACUUCGAACAUCAGCUAAGUGUAUUCUGUGGACUACUACUACUACGACUACGAUUACUACUACUAUUUCUACUAUUACUACUACUACUACUACUACUACUACUACUACUACUGCUGCUGCUGCUGGUGCACUACUCUGUACUGCCGCGAUGAACAGGACAAAGGAAAAGGGAAGAGGGAAGAGGAAGAGGAUGUCGACAACCAGAGGACCAAGGGACCAAGAGCAACUUUGUGGCUGGAGUGGAACGACCGAAUUUACACUACUCUUCUAUUUCUUCGCUAUUAAAUUUUUUUAGGAUUUUUGAAUUAGAAGAAAUUUAAUGACUGGUUUUGUAUGCUGAUGAAAAAAAUUAAAUUGAUUUAAGAAAACAAAUUUUUUAAAAAAUUUCAUUAGCUAGAAU